CAGUCGCCGCGGUAAUACGAGGGGGGCAAGCGUUGUUCGGAUUUAUUGGGCGUAAAGGGUGCGUAGGCGGAUCGAUCAGUCAGGGGUGAAAUCCCAGAGCUCAACUCUGGAACUGCCUUUGAUACUGUCGAUCUGGAGUAUGGAAGAGGUGAGUGGAAUUCCGAGUGUAGAGGUGAAAUUCGUAGAUAUUCGGAGGAACACCAGUGGCGAAGGCGGCUCACUGGUCCAUUACUGACGCUGAGGUGCGAAAGCGUGGGGAGCAAACAGGAUUAGAUACCCGUGUAGUCCCUGUCUCUUAUAC
rnacentral:rRNA from 1 species